rnacentral:rRNA from 1 species
AACGAACGCUGGCGGCAUGCCUAACACAUGCAAGUCGAACGAGACCUUCGGGUCUAGUGGCGCACGGGUGCGUAACGCGUGGGAACCUGCCCUUAGGUUCGGAAUAACUCCCCGAAAGGGGUGCUAAUACCGGAUAAUGUCUUCUGAUCAAAGAUUCAUCGCCCUUGGAUGGGCCCGCGUUGUUUGAGCUAGGUGGUAGGGUAAAAGCCUACCAAGGCGACGAUCCAUAGCUGGUUUGAGAGGAUGAUCAGCCACACUGGGAAUGAGAGACGGCACAGACGCGGAGGGGAGGCAGCAGCGGGGAAGAUUGGAGAAGGGGGGCAAGGCUGAUCCAGCCAUAGCGCGUGGGUGAAGAAGGAGUUAGGGUGGGAAAGACCGUGUGGGGGGAAAGAAAAGCAGCAGGUUAAUACCCCGCUGUUCUGACGGUACCAAAAGAAUAAGCACCGGCGAACUUCGUG